GGGGAGGAGCCCAGAGCCUGAAUCAGCAUGUGUGUUAGUGGAAGCGUCUGGAAAGGCGCGCGAUACAGGGUGACAGCCCCGUACACAAAAGCGCAUGUGCUGUGAGCUCGAUGAGUAGGGCGGGACACGUGGUAUCCUGUCUGAAUAUGGGGGGACCAUCCUCCAAGGCUAAAUACUCCUGACUGACCGAUAGUGAACCAGUACCGUGAGGGAAAGGCGAAAAGAACCCCGGCGAGGGGAGUGAAAAAGAACCUGAAACCGUGUACGUACAAGCAGUGGGAGCACCCUUUGGGGUGUGACUGCGUACCUUUUGUAUAAUGGGUCAGCGACUUAUAUUCUGUAGCAAGGUUAACCGAAUAGGGGAGCCGGAGGGAAACCGAGUCUUAAU
rnacentral:rRNA from 1 species